GGAAGAAUGGCGUAAUUGGCAUCGCAGAGGAUUGCUAAUCCUUCCGGGACACAACAGUCUCGUACAAGUUCAAAUCUUGUUUCUUCCG
rnacentral:tRNA from 1 species